GCAUUGAAAUACAGGUUCCCAUAUGAUCAGAGAAGUUGAACAACAUCAAGCCUGGUCAGUACUUAGAUGGGUGACCACUUGGGAAUAUCAGCUUCUGU